UACGUAGGGGGCAAGCGUUGUCCGGAUUUACUGGGCGUAAAGAGCGUGUAGGCGGCCAAGCAGGUCCGUUGUGAAAACUGGAGGCUUAACCUCCAGACGUCGACGGAAACCGCGUGGCUAGAGUCCGGAAGAGGAGAGUGGAAUUCCUGGUGUAGCGGUGAAAUGCGCAGAUAUCAGGAAGAACACCCGUGGCUAAGGCGGCUCUCUAGUACGGUACUGACGCUGAGACGCGAAAGCGUGGGGAGCGAACAGG
rnacentral:rRNA from 1 species